UUGAGAAAAAGUGGCUGGAGAAACACAUCUCUCCAGCCACAGACUAUUUCUCCCCUGGGGCAGAUUUUUCAAGCUACCCUCCUCUGUGUUCACCUCCUCCUUCUUGUCUGGACCCAUCAGCCUCCCAGCCCAGUUCCUGGGCAGCCCAGGCACUGAGGAAAACAGGACCCCACAGUAAGAUGAGCACAGCCCUGUUGAAUGGGAAAGA
ensembl:misc_RNA